rnacentral:rRNA from 1 species
UGGGGAAUUUUGGACAAUGGGCGAAAGCCUGAUCCAGCAAUGCCGCGUGUGUGAAGAAGGCCUUCGGGUUGUAAAGCACUUUUGUCCGGAAAGAAAUCCUUGCUAGGUUAAUGACUCGGGGGAUGACGGUACCGGAAGAAUAAGCACCGGCUAACUACGUGCCAGCAGCCGCGGUAAUACGUAGGGUGCAAGCGUUAAUCGGAAUUACUGGGCGUAAAGCGUGCGCAGGCGGUUUUGUAAGACGGAUGUGAAAUCCCCGGGCUUAACCUGGGAACUGCAUUCGUGACUGCAAGGCUAGAGUAUGGCAGAGGGGGGUAGAAUUCCACGUGUAGCAGUGAAAUGCGUAGAGAUGUGGAGGAAUACCGAUGGCGAAGGCAGCCCCCUGGGCCAAAUACUGACGCUCAUGCACGAAAAGCGUGGGGAGCAAAACAGGAUUAGAUACCCUGGUAGUCCACGCCCUAAACGAUGUCAACUAGUUGUUGGGGAUUCAUUUCCUUAGUAACGUAGCUAACGCGUGAAGUUGACCGCCUGGGGAGUACGGUCGCAAGAUU